UUCCACAGCUGCUGGUCUGCAGUCCUUCUCAUCUACAGCAGUUGUUGUAUUCCACUGUGGAAAAGAAACGGUUUCACUGUUAAUCACCUCUUUCUAAUGCAAAAGCAAGCGGCUUCCUUGUGGGACAGACACCU